CAGUAGCCACGGGAAUACGGAGGGUGCAAGCGUUAUCCGGAUUCACUGGGUUUAAAGGGUGCGUAGGCGGAUCUGUAGGUCAGUGGUGAAAUCUCCAGGCUUAACCUGGAAACUGCCGUUGAUACUAUAGGUCUUGAAUUUUGUGGAGGUUAGCGGAAUAUGUCAUGUAGCGGUGAAAUGCAUAGAUAUGACAUAGAACACCAAUUGCGAAGGCAGCUGGCUACACAACUAUUGACGCUGAGGCACGAAAGCGUGGGGAUCAAACAGGAUUAGAUACCCCAGUAGUCCCUGUCUCUUAUAC
rnacentral:rRNA from 1 species